UCUUCUCUAUUAACUCUUGACAUUACCCAUAAUAUGCAUUUUGCAGGAGAAAGAAAGUCGAGCUCUCAGCUGUGAACAUGCCGACAACCUCAUACAAACUCCACCACACAAAUAUGAAGAGAGAGAGCAUGUGAAUGUCCAUUGUUCAAACACAAGUGUGUUUCUGCAGGCAAUGUAAAGGUCAAUAAUAAUAGUAAUUGAGGAAAGUGACAUCUCUAAAUUUUAAUGGUUGAGAUGUACGCAGAUCCAAUCAACCUAUUGAUGGGAAGGAAUCCUCUAAGCGUCAAGUGGAAAUGUAUGCAGACUCGGAUGACAUCAUACCAACUCCCCAGCUUCCGCCACGCAAUUACGAUGAAGGAGAGCAUGUGAACGUGCUUGUUCAAGACACGAGUCAGAGUAAGCUUGUUGAAGAAGCAACUAAACCAGCUAAUACCAGCCAGCUUCCUCAGGAACUUUAUUCAGAGGUGUUUAACGCAUUGCCAAAAGGGAUGGCUCCUAAAGUUGUGAGGAAUGGAACAAAAAACUAACUGAUCAUUAGUAACACUUAUCUUUGCUCAUAAUAGUGUAGGUUAUUAGCUUACACUAAAUCAUUUAAUGCAGUUAUUCAUUGAUUUUUUAUUAAUCCUUGUUUUUUUCGCCAAAUAAGUAUCAUUUGAGGCAUUUGCAUCAAGCCAUGAUUUAUU